rnacentral:rRNA from 1 species
AAAAACAUCGCCUCUUGACAAAAUAUAAGAGGUCCAGCCUGCCCAGUGACAAAGUUAAACGGCCGCGGUACCCUAACCGUGCGAAGGUAGCGCAAUCACUUGUUCUUUAAAUGAGGACUAGUAUGAAUGGCAUCACGAGGGUUGCACUGUCUCCCCUUUUUAAUCAAUGAAACUGACCCCCCCGUGAAGAGGCGGGGAUAUAACUAUAAGACGAGAAGACCCCAUGGAGCUUUAAACUCAGUAUCAACCGCCUAACAACACAUCAUUACAAUUUGGCCGAUCUGAUUACUAGUUUUCGGUUGGGGUGACCGCGGAGUAAAACAAAACCUCCACGAUGAAAGGACCUAUACUCCUAAUCAUAGAGCCACAGCUCAAAGAAUCAAAAAACUGACAUAAAUUGAUCCAAUUAAUUUGAUCAACGAACCAAGUUACCCUGGGGAUAACAGCGCAAUCCACUUCAAGAGCCCCUAUCGACAAGUGGGUUUACGACCUCGAUGUUGGAUCAGGGUAUCCCAGUGGUGCAGCCGCUACUAAAGGUUCGUUUGUUCAACGAUUAAAACCCUACGUGAUCUGAGUUC